UACGUAGGGGCAAGCGUUAUCCGGAAUUAUUGGGCGUAAAGAGUGCGUAGGUGGUUACCUAAGCGCAAGGUUUAAUCUUGAGGCUUAACCUCAUUCUGCCUUGCGAACUGGGCUACUUGAGUGCUGGAGGGGAAAGCGGAAUUCCCAGUGUAGCGGUGAAAUGCGUAGAUAUUGGGAAGAACACCGGAGGCGAAGGCGGCUUUCUGGACAGUAACUGACACUGAGGCACGAAAGCGUGGGGAGCAAACAGGAUUAGAUACCCGUGUAGUCCCUGAG
rnacentral:rRNA from 1 species